UUAAGCGACUAAGCGUACACGGUGGAUGCCCUGGCAGUCAGAGGCGAUGAAGGACGUGCUAAUCUGCGAUAAGCGUCGGUAAGGUGAUAUGAACCGUUAUAACCGGCGAUUUCCGAAUGGGGAAACCCAGUGUGAUUCGUCACACUAUCAUUAACUGAAUCCAUAGGUUAAUGAGGCGAACCGGGGGAACUGAAACAUCUAAGUACCCUGAGGAAAAGAAAUCAACCGAGAUUCCCCCAGUAGCGGCGAGCGAACGGGGAGGAGCCCAGAGCCUGAAUCAGUGUGUGUGUUAGUGGAAGCGUCUGGAAAGGCGCGCGAUACAGGGUGACAGCCCCGUACACAAAAAUGCACAUAUUGUGAGCUCGAUGAGUAGGGCGGGACACGUGGUAUCCUGUCUGAAUAUGGGGGGACCAUCCUCCAAGGCUAAAUACUCCUGACUGACCGAUAGUGAACCAGUACCGUGAGGGAAAGGCGAAAAGAACCCCGGCGAGGGGAGUGAAAAAGAACCUGAAACCGUGUACGUACAAGCAGUGGGAGCACGCUUCGGCGUGUGACUGCGUACCUUUUGUAUAAUGGGUCAGCGACUUAUAUUCUGUAGCAAGGUUAACCGAAUAGGGGAGCCGAAGGGAAACCGAGUCUUAACUGGGCGUUAAGUUGCAGGGUAUAGACCCGAAACCCGGUGAUCUAGCCAUGGGCAGGUUGAAGGUUGGGUAACACUAACUGGAGGACCGAACCGACUAAUGUUGAAAAAUUAGCGGAUGACUUGUGGCUGGGGGUGAAAGGCCAAUCAAACCGGGAGAUAGCUGGUUCUCCCCGAAAGCUAUUUAGGUAGCGCCUCGUGAAUUCAUCUCCGGGGGUAGAGCACUGUUUCGGCAAGGGGGUCAUCCCGACUUACCAACCCGAUGCAAACUGCGAAUACCGGAGAAUGUUAUCACGGGAGACACACGGCGGGUGCUAACGUCCGUCGUGAAGAGGGAAACAACCCAGACCGCCAGCUAAGGUCCCAAAGUCAUGGUUAAGUGGGAAACGAUGUGGGAAGGCCCAGACAGCCAGGAUGUUGGCUUAGAAGCAGCCAUCAUUUAAAGAAAGCGUAAUAGCUCACUGGUCGAGUCGGCCUGCGCGGAAGAUGUAACGGGGCUAAACCAUGCACCGAAGCUGCGGCAGCGACGCUUAUGCGUUGUUGGGUAGGGGAGCGUUCUGUAAGCCUGCGAAGGUGUGCUGUGAGGCAUGCUGGAGGUAUCAGAAGUGCGAAUGCUGACAUAAGUAACGAUAAAGCGGGUGAAAAGCCCGCUCGCCGGAAGACCAAGGGUUCCUGUCCAACGUUAAUCGGGGCAGGGUGAGUCGACCCCUAAGGCGAGGCCGAAAGGCGUAGUCGAUGGGAAACAGGUUAAUAUUCCUGUACUUGGUGUUACUGCGAAGGGGGGACGGAGAAGGCUAUGUUGGCCGGGCGACGGUUGUCCCGGUUUAAGCGUGUAGGCUGGUUUUCCAGGCAAAUCCGGAAAAUCAAGGCUGAGGCGUGAUGACGAGGCACUACGGUGCUGAAGCAACAAAUGCCCUGCUUCCAGGAAAAGCCUCUAAGCAUCAGGUAACAUCAAAUCGUACCCCAAACCGACACAGGUGGUCAGGUAGAGAAUACCAAGGCGCUUGAGAGAACUCGGGUGAAGGAACUAGGCAAAAUGGUGCCGUAACUUCGGGAGAAGGCACGCUGAUAUGUAGGUGAAGUCCCUCGCGGAUGGAGCUGAAAUCAGUCGAAGAUACCAGCUGGCUGCAACUGUUUAUUAAAAACACAGCACUGUGCAAACACGAAAGUGGACGUAUACGGUGUGACGCCUGCCCGGUGCCGGAAGGUUAAUUGAUGGGGUUAGCCGCAAGGCGAAGCUCUUGAUCGAAGCCCCGGUAAACGGCGGCCGUAACUAUAACGGUCCUAAGGUAGCGAAAUUCCUUGUCGGGUAAGUUCCGACCUGCACGAAUGGCGUAAUGAUGGCCAGGCUGUCUCCACCCGAGACUCAGUGAAAUUGAACUCGCUGUGAAGAUGCAGUGUACCCGCGGCAAGACGGAAAGACCCCGUGAACCUUUACUAUAGCUUGACACUGAACAUUGAGCCUUGAUGUGUAGGAUAGGUGGGAGGCUUUGAAGUGUGGACGCCAGUCUGCAUGGAGCCGACCUUGAAAUACCACCCUUUAAUGUUUGAUGUUCUAACGUUGACCCGUAAUCCGGGUUGCGGACAGUGUCUGGUGGGUAGUUUGACUGGGGCGGUCUCCUCCUAAAGAGUAACGGAGGAGCACGAAGGUUGGCUAAUCCUGGUCGGACAUCAGGAGGUUAGUGCAAUGGCAUAAGCCAGCUUGACUGCGAGCGUGACGGCGCGAGCAGGUGCGAAAGCAGGUCAUAGUGAUCCGGUGGUUCUGAAUGGAAGGGCCAUCGCUCAACGGAUAAAAGGUACUCCGGGGAUAACAGGCUGAUACCGCCCAAGAGUUCAUAUCGACGGCGGUGUUUGGCACCUCGAUGUCGGCUCAUCACAUCCUGGGGCUGAAGUAGGUCCCAAGGGUAUGGCUGUUCGCCAUUUAAAGUGGUACGCGAGCUGGGUUUAGAACGUCGUGAGACAGUUCGGUCCCUAUCUGCCGUGGGCGCUGGAGAACUGAGGGGGGCUGCUCCUAGUACGAGAGGACCGGAGUGGACGCAUCACUGGUGUUCGGGUUGUCAUGCCAAUGGCACUGCCCGGUAGCUAAAUGCGGAAGAGAUAAGUGCUGAAAGCAUCUAAGCACGAAACUUGCCCCGAGAUGAGUUCUCCCUGACCCUUUAAGGGUCCUGAAGGAACGUUGAAGACGACGACGUUGAUAGGCCGGGUGUGUAAGCGCAGCGAUGCGUUGAGCUAACCGGUACUAAUGAACCGUGAGGCUUAACCUU
rnacentral:rRNA from 1 species